rnacentral:rRNA from 1 species
UGGGGAAUAUUGCACAAUGGGGGAAACCCUGAUGCAGCGACGCCGCGUGAGUGAAGAAGUACUUCGGUAUGUAAAGCUCUAUCAGCAGGGAAGAAAAUGACGGUACCUGAGUAAGAAGCCCCGGCUAACUACGUGCCAGCAGCCGCGGUAAUACGUAGGGGGCAAGCGUUAUCCGGAUUUACUGGGUGUAAAGGGAGCGCAGACGGUUGCGCAAGUCUGAAGUGAAAUCCCGAGGCUUAACCACGGGACUGCUUUGGAAACUGUGCGACUUGAGUAUCGGAGGGGCAGGCGGAAUUCCUAGUGUAGCGGUGAAAUGCGUAGAUAUUAGGAAGAACACCGGUGGCGAAGGCGGCCUGCUGGACGAAAACUGACGUUGAGGCUCGAA